GGAAAAAUGGGAAGAGUGAGUGAAGAGUGAAGGGAGAUCACCGGAGCAGUCACCAAUUUAAUUACAAAGCAGAGUUACCUUCAGAUUUGUCCGGUAAGUGGACCGCGGGCGAUUCACUAUGAAUUCGCCCCGGUUAUCCGAGGGCGGUUCCGUGAGAAUCCGCCCCGGAAUCCGCGGGCGAUUCCCAGAGAAUUCGCCCCGGUAGCCGUGGGCGAUUCAUAGAAUUCGCCCCGGCAGCUGGAAAAAGAUUAAGGAAUCUUGAGGGCGGUUAUCAGGAGGGAAUCCGCCCCAAGAGGGGCCACAUCGCCACGUUUUAAGUUGCCCAUGCCACGAGGCUUGUGGCUUAUCGUGUUGUCUCUCUCUUUACAGACAAACUGGAAAGGUACCGUUCAGAAACACAAAGAAGAAGAGAUCGGAGAGAGAGGGAGAAGAAGCGACAAGAAGAAGCGAGAGAACUGGCAGCAGGGAGCGUUGAAGGUGGGCUGCGGGCCACUUCUGUGGAACGACUGCGGGAGAGGGAGAGAGCAUCUACAGAGCGGCGCAAGCAAGUGGAAUCUCCAACAAGCUCAGUGGUGUUUGCUGCUCCUCGCCCUCACGUAUUUUCGUCUCCGAGUAGCGUGAAAGUGCAGCGUGCACGGAGGUUGGCAGAGAGGAUUCCAGAGUCUCCCUUGUCUCCCGGUGGCAGUUUUUCGUCCCCGCUUUUUCCGAUUAGUGAGACUGGGGACUUUCUCCUUGUAGGGCCUUCCCCUACACCAAGCUUAUUGAACUCUUGGAGCUCGUCUUCGGACGAGGAGGGGGACGAGGGUGAAGACGUCCAUCCUGGCCAGGCUGGGGAGGGGCAGGCAGUUUUCGCCGCGGGCUGCCGAAUCAAUCUCUCACAUCUCAGCCCGUGGAGAAGGGCACUGUACAAACUCCACCACUACCACUGGGCCCAGGGUGCGUGUGAAGGGCGGCCCAUCUCGCUCGUCCAGGUGUCUGGGGUUAUCUCCAGGCGUGGUACGCACAGAGAUAAAGCCACCCAGACGGCGCGUGGAGGUGGUCAGCUUCCUCAGAGACCAACGCCAGUCAUCCCCGUCGACGAGCUACCGCGAGAUCCGCGAAUCCAGGAAAGUGGAGGACAAUCGACGCCCUCCGCUCGAUUCGGGGGUGCGAGAGAACGGAGAGAGGCACAGGACAGUCAGGCAGAGACUGGGGUGGAUUGUAAAGCCUACCAAGGCGUGGAAGAGGCGGCAGCGAAGGAAGAAGGCUGCCACUCUCAGGAGAGAGGAGGCUGCCACUCUCAGGAGAGAGGAGGCUGCCACUCUCAGGAAGACGAGGGGAGUUCCAUCCCCACAGUUUGUUUGCCUGGUUCCAGAGAAGAUGGUGAGGUUCACAAGGAGUGACAUUUAAAAGGAACAUGUGGUUUAUAAAUAAAAGAGUUGAAUAAACAGGGACUAGUCUAAAUCCAUCAAACAA